GACGAACGCUGGCGGCGUGCUUAACACAUGCAAGUCGAACGGAAAGGCCCUGCUUUUGUGGGGUGCUCGAGUGGCGAACGGGUGAGUAACACGUGAGUAACCUGCCCUUGACUUUGGGAUAACUUCAGGAAACUGGGGCUAAUACCGGAUAGGAGCCCCUGCUGCAUGGUGGGGGUUGGAAAGUUUCGGCGGUUGGGGAUGGACUCGCGGCUUAUCAGCUUGUUGGUGGGGUAGUGGCCUACCAAGGCUUUGACGGGUAGCCGGCCUGAGAGGGUGACCGGCCACAUUGGGACUGAGAUACGGCCCAGACUCCUACGGGAGGCAGCAGUGGGGAAUAUUGCACAAUGGGCGGAAGCCUGAUGCAGCAACGCCGCGUGCGGGAUGACGGCCUUCGGGUUGUAAACCGCUUUCGCCUGUGACGAAGCGUGAGUGACGGUAAUGGGUAAAGAAGCACCGGCUAACUACGUG
rnacentral:rRNA from 1 species